CGNGGAUCCNAGNNCNNGUNUNACNNANNCAAGNCNAGCGGAAAAGAUAAGGAGCUUGCUCCUUUGACGUUAGCGGCGGACGGGUGAGUAACACGUGGAUAACCUACCUAUAAGACUGGGAUAACUUCGGGAAACCGGAGCUAAUACCGGAUAAGAUUUUGAACCGCAUGGUUCAAUAGUGAAAGACGGCCUUGCUGUCACUUAUAGAUGGAUCCGCGCCGUAUUAGCUAGUUGGUAAGGUAACGGCUUACCAAGGCAACGAUACGUAGCCGACCUGAGAGGGUGAUCGGCCACACUGGAACUGAGACACGGUCCAGACUCCUACGGGAGGCAGCAGUAGGGAAUCUUCCGCAAUGGGCGAAAGCCUGACGGAGCAACGCCGCGUGAGUGAUGAAGGUCUUCGGAUCGUAAAACUCUGUUAUCAGGGAAGAACAAACGUGUAAGUAACUGUGCACGUCUUGACGGUACCUGAUCAGAAGGCCACGGCUAACUACGUGCCAGCAGCCGCGGUAAUACGUAGGUGGCAAGCGUUAUCCGGAAUUAUUGGGCGUAAAGCGCGCGUAGGCGGUUUUUUAAGUCUGAUGUGAAAGCCCACGGCUCACCGUGGAGGUCAUUG
rnacentral:rRNA from 1 species